GACGAACGCUGGCGGCGUGCUUAACACAUGCAAGUCGUACGGUAAGGCCCUUUCGGGGGUACACGAGUGGCGAACGGGUGAGUAACACGUGAGUAACCUGCCCACAACUUUGGGAUAACGCUAGGAAACUGGUGCUAAUACUGGAUAUGUGCUCCUGCUGCAUGGUGGGGGUUGGAAAGCUCCGGCUGUUGUGGAUGGACUCGCGGCCUAUCAGCUUGUUGGUGGGGUAGUGGCCUACCAAGGCGGCGACGGGUAGCCGGCCUGAGAGGGUGACCGGCCACAUUGGGACUGAGAUACGGCCCAGACUCCUACGGGAGGCAGCAGUGGGGAAUAUUGCACAAUGGGCGCAAGCCUGAUGCAGCAACGCCGCGUGCGGGAUGACGGCCUUCGGGUUGUAAACCGCUUUCAGCAGGGACGAAGCUUUUUGUGACGGUACCUGCAGAAGAAGCACCGGCUAACUACGUG
rnacentral:rRNA from 1 species